rnacentral:rRNA from 1 species
AACGAACGCUGGCGGCGUGGAUAAGACAUGCAAGUCGAACGGGACUAAAUCUGUAGCAAUACAGGUUUAGUUUAGUGGCGAACGGGUGCGUAACACGUGGGCAAUCUGCCGAGAAGUGGGGGAUAGCUCGCCGAAAGGCGAAUUAAUACCGCAUAUGAUCAGCUAAGACAUCUUAGCGACAUCAAAGCCGGGGUAACCUGGCGCUUCUUGAUGAGCCCGCGGCCAUCAGCUAGUUGGUGAGGUAACGCUCACCAAGGCUAUGACGGGUAGCUGGUCUGAGAGGACGACCAGUCACACUGGAACUGAGACACGGUCCAGACACCUACGGGUGCAGCAGUCGAGUAAUUUUUC